AUGAAUAUUGCCCUUCUAUCCCGGUGGCAGUGGCGCAUUGCGCAGGGUCAUGGUGGCCUCUGGCUCGACAUUAUCCGGAAUAAAUACCUGCAGGGUCAACCCCUUGCCUUCUGUCAGAAAUCGGGCGGGUCUCAGUUCUGGCAGUCUCUCGUCCAGCUUCUCCCAGUGCUCCGCAUUGGUACCUCCAUCUCGGUGGGGUACGGCCUCUCGACGCUCUUCUGGUUUGAUCGCUGGGCCGGCGACUCUCCCUUUGCGGCCCGCUUUUCCGCCCUCUUCUCUAUCUCCGUCGACCCCAUGAUUUCUGUUGAUGGCCUUCUUGACUUAGGGCGCCUUGCUUUCCGUCGGCCCUUUGGGCCGGCGGAAUCCGCCGCCUGGCGUGAGUUGCUCGAUUGCGUUGCUCUGCAUGAGCCGUUGGUGGAUGGGGGUCAGGACCUUGUGCGCUGGCGCUUGGAACCAUCGGGCCAGUUCUCAACCAAGUCGCUGUACAUGGCCAUUGCCCCCUCCUCCGCCCUCCCCCUAUCGAUGGUGUGGUCCGUCCGUGUCCCCCUGAAGAUUCGCAUCUUCAUGUGGCAGUGGAUUCGCGGACGGGUCCCGUCCGGUGUGGAGGUCUGCAAGCGGAAUGGCCCGGGCACUGGUAUCUGCCCGCUCUGUGGAGUCCCGGAAGACUCGAACCACAUCUUCUUCGCUUGCGUCUCCGCCCAGUUCCUCUGGAGCUGCUUUCGCGAGAUUGUCAGUGGAAGUUGGUGCCACACCAAUUUCCCGGACUUAUUUGCUGAACUCCAGAUGUCCCCCGCGUCCUCUCGCCACAUUAGGUGGCUUGAGGUUGGGGUUCUUGCCUGGACUCUUUGGACCAUUCGCAAUAAGCUUGUGAUCCAGUGUACCCCCCUUCGUCGCUCUACAAACUCUCGGGUUUCUUGCAGCUUUGGCGGCCGCUUAGCCGCCCCCCGGACCGGGACGCCAUCUCAGCCUUCAUCGCCGACCUCCGCUCGAUGGCCGUCCGCCUGUCGCCGCCGCCCCAGCCGGAUCCAGACUAGACUCCCUGCGCUUGGAGUGUUUUGUUUUCUCUCUUUCUUUUGGGCUUGUUGA
rnacentral:rRNA from 1 species